UAUACUUGAAAGUUCAAACAACCGCCACUGGGGUUCUGCUUCGCUAAAACCCUUUCCUCAACUCGGAAAGCAAACCACAACCAAUAUACAGUUAUGCACCUUCUAUUCCGUUUCCCCGCCGUCACGCGCCGCAACUACCUUGUACUCCGCCACUACAAGACGGCGAAGAAACCACCGUUUCCUACAGCGACCCCUCCAAAAGCUCCAAAGAAGCCUCAGAACUUUAGCUUCCACGGGAUAACAUGGGAGGAUCCUUACAGCUGGAUGUCGAGCCUGAACGACAAGGUAGCGAUGCGGCACAUGGACGUUUACAUGGAGCAAGAGGAGAAGUACACUGAGGCCGUAAUGUCCGAUUCCGAACGCAUCGUUAACAAGCUUCACUUCGAAAUGGCCUCUCGAGUUCCCUUCGAACUUUCCACUCCUCCUCUUCGCUGGGGACCUUGGUUGUACUAUCGCCGUGUUGAAGAAGGAAAACCUUACCCUGUGCUUUGCAGAAGAUUGGCUAGCUUGCACGAUGAUUUCAUAUCGCAUAAAUAUCCUCCUGCAGGCUUUGAUUUUACUACAGGGAAGACAGUUGAGCAGAAGCUGGUUGAUUAUAAUCAAGAGGCAGAGAGAUUUGGAGGUUAUGCUUAUGAGGAACUUUCCGAGGUUUCGCCAAAUCACCAUUUUCUUGCAUAUACUAUGUAUGAUAAAGACAAUGGCUACUUCAAGUUAUCUGUGAGAAAUUUGAAUUCGGGUUCCUUGUGCAGUAAGCCUCAAGCAGAUCGUGUUUCAAAUUUGGCUUGGGCUAAAGAUGGUCAGGCAUUGCUUUAUGUUGUAACAGAUGAGAAGAUGAGGCCAUACCGGAUCUAUUACAGUCUUAUUGGAUCAACUGAUGAUGAUGUUUUGCUUUUGGAAGAAUCUGAUGAAAAUGUUCACAUUAGUAUAAGGCACACAAAAGACUUUAAAUUUGUGACUGUGAAUACAUUAUCCCCCACAUCAUCAAAGGUCUUUCUAAUAAAUGCAGCUGAUCCAUUGUCUGGCUUGAAACUUGUUUGGGAGUGUGAAGCUAUAGUUCACUGCGUAGUUGAACAUCACCAAGGUUAUCUUUAUUUAUUUACAAAUGCUCCCAAAGGUGGGCAAUCGGUUGAUUAUCAUUAUCUUCUUAGUAGUCCCGAGGACACUCAUUCAAAUCCAAGAAAGUGGGAGGAGGUAAUUGUCGACGACCCAACUUUGGUUAUUGAGGAUGUUGAUUUUAGUGAUAAAUACUUGGCACUCAUUGUAAGAGAAAAUCAAAAUUUUCAACUUUGUUCAGUUAGACUGCCAUUGCCCUUCGGGAAGGGGGCAGUUAAAUUGAGGAAGCUUGACAUGCAAUUUUUGUCUCUUCCAAAACAUGUUUGUCAAAUUUCACCUGGACCAAACUAUGACUUCUUUUCAUCAGUCAUGCGCUUUAUAAUAUCAUCUCCUGUGAUGCCUGAUGCUGUGGUUGAUUAUGACCUAGCAACCUGUAGGUGGAACAUUAUUCAACAGCAAAAUAUGCUUCAUGACAGGACACGAAUAUUAUAUGGUACAAAUUCUUCAAGUGUAACUGUGGAACCGUCAGAUGCAAGAUAUUCCAGUCCCAUGCAUGCCAAUUUGGAAGAUGACCACUUAUGGAAUGACCUGUCUGAGUUUUAUGCCUGUGAACAAUAUGUUGUACCUUCAUUUGAUGGGGUUCUGAUUCCCUUGACUAUUGUUUUUGCACGUGAAAAUAAGCCAAAAGAUGAAAAACCUGGAAUAUUGCUUGGUCAUGGAGCUUAUGGUGAGUUACUCGACAAACGGUGGCGCAGUGAAUUUAAAAGCCUUCUGGACCGUGGUUGGGUCAUAGCCUAUGCUGAUGUUAGAGGCGGAGGUGGUUAUGGCAAGAAAUGGCAUCAUGAUGGAAGACGAACAAAGAAACAUAAUUCAGUCAAUGACUAUAUUUCUUGUGCUAAGUUUCUCAUAGAAAAAGAUUUUGUGAAUGAAAAACAAUUGGCUGCCUGGGGGUAUAGUGCUGGAGGGCUUUUGGCUGCUGCAGCUAUUAAUCGUUUACCAGAUUUAUUUCGUGCUGCAGUCUUAAAGGUUCCUUUUUUAGAUGCAACCAACACUCUUCUGUAUCCCAUCUUACCACUUGUAGCUGAUGAUUAUGAAGAGUUUGGCUACCCUGGGGACCUCGAUGAUUUUCUUGCAAUUCGAGAGUAUUCUCCAUAUGACAAUGUUCAAAAGGAUGUUCUUUAUCCAUCGGUAUUAGUAUCCUCGUCUUUCAAUACACGAUUUGGGGUGUGGGAAGCAGCAAAAUGGGUAGCACGAGUUCGCGAUCUUUCAAUAUAUGACCCAAAACGGCCAAUAUUGCUAAACUUGACCUCAGAUAUAGUGGAGGAAAACCGUUAUUUGCAAUCCAAGGAAUCAGCAUUAGAGGCUGCAUUUCUUAUUAAGACGAUGGAAUCCUAGAUAUGAGAGCUGAUCAUUUGCUCAACCUGAGGGUAGUUGGCACUUGUGUGAUGUCUCCCUCCGGCAACCUGAUGUCAAAAUUGAGAUUGUAUUUCUCGAUGAACUAAGAUCCAUUCACAUGCUCCACAUGGGAAAUGCUUGCUAUCCAAUAUUCUUUUCCCAUUGGUUGUAUGCUUAGCUCUCAAGCCUAUCAUUUAUUAUUACGGAUGUUUAGCACGAUGGUCAUUUCCACCCAUAUCAUGAAUGCGUUUAUAGAAUCUUACAGCCCAAA